UACGUAGGGUGCAAGCGUUGUCCGGAAUUAUUGGGCGUAAAGAGCUCGUAGGCGGUCUGUCGCGUCUGGUGUGAAAAUCCAGGGCUUAACCCUGGACCUGCAUCGGGGUACGGGCAGACUAGAGUGCGGUAGGGGAGAUCGGAAUUCCUGGUGUAGCGGUGAAAUGCGCAGAUAUCAGGAGGAACACCCGUGGCGAAGGCGGCUCUCUGGGACGGUACUGACGCUGAGACGCGAAAGCGUGGGGAGCGAACAGG
rnacentral:rRNA from 1 species